rnacentral:rRNA from 1 species
UUCUCAGUUCGGAUCGGAGUCUGCAACCCGACUCCGUGAAGCUGGAUUCGCUAGUAAUCGCGCAUCAGCCAUGGCGCGGUGAAUACGUUCCCGGGCCUUGUACACACCGCCCGUCAAGCCAUGGAAGCCGGGGGCGCUUGAAGUGCGUUGCCGCAAGGCGCGCCCUAGAGCGAAACCGGUGACUGGGGCUAAGUCGUAACAAGGUAUC